AACGAACGCUGGCGGCAUGCCUAACACAUGCAAGUCGAACGAGACCUUCGGGUCUAGUGGCGCACGGGUGCGUAACGCGUGGGAACCUGCCCUUAGGUUCGGAAUAACUCCCCGAAAGGGGUGCUCAUACCGGAUAAUGUCUUCGGACCAAAGAUUUAUCGCCUUUGGAUGGGCCCGCGUUGGAUUAGCUCGUUGGUAGGGUAAAAGCCUACCAAGGCGACGAUCCAUAGCUGGUCUGAGAGGAUGAUCAGCCACACUGGGACUGAGACACGGCCCAGACUCCUACGGGAGGCAGCAGUGGGGAAUAUUGGACAAUGGGCGAAAGCCUGAUCCAGCAAUGCCGCGUGAGUGAUGAAGGCCUUAGGGUUGUAAAGCUCUUUUACCCGGGAUGAUAAUGACAGUACCGGGAGAAUAAGCUCCGGCUAACUCCGUG
rnacentral:rRNA from 1 species